UCUUUAGUAGCUGGGAUUAGAGAUACAUGAAGAUGACAACCAUAGUUAAUCUGUGGAAGUUACCAUGAUGAUGAAGAGUGGUGUCUUUAUUCCGUAGGUCUUCCCUAUGAGAUGGUUCUAUGAUCAUUUUACAGACCACAAUAUAGUGCCUCCGAGAGGUUAAGCACCUAUCCCAAGGAUAAAGGACUAGUUGUGCCAAGAGCCCUAGAACCUGGGUUCAAAUUCCACCUCCAACACUUACAAGCCAUUGUUGUUUGUUCCUUAAAUUCUCUAGGCCUCAGUUUCUACAUCUUUAAAAUAAGGUUGUUGGCUAUGCUGUGGUUCAUGCCUGUAAUCCCAGCACUUUGGGAGGCUGAGGCAGGUGGAUCACUUGAGGUCAGAAGUUCAAGACCAGCCGGGCCAACAUGGUGAAACCCCGACUCUAUCAAAAAUACAAAAAUUAGCUGGGUGUGGUGGUGCACACCUGUAGUCCCAGCCACUCGGGAGGCUGAGGUGGGAAAAUUGCUUAAACCCAGGAAGCAGAGGUUGCAGUGAGCUGAGAUCAUGCCACUGCACUCCAAUCUGGGUGACAGAGAAAGACUAUGUCAAAAUACAUAAAAUAAAUAAAAUAAAGUUGUUAAUGUUUCCCCGUGCCUACAGUUGUUGUGAGAAUUAAAUAAGAGAGCACAUGCAAAGUGGAGCCAAAUCAUAAACUCGUCGAAAUGACUGGAAUCAAGCCCUGUGUGCCUGGCAACAAAAGAGAGAAAGAAUUUCAUAGUAUGGGCUUUCCUGCUUACUACUGCAGACUAGGAGGGUCGGCCCCAGAGCAAGCAGGAAGUGGGAGAAAAAGCAC
rnacentral:lncRNA from 10 species